rnacentral:lncRNA from 1 species
GUGUUCUUCCACGUGUGGUGCGGAUGGUAAACAAUCAAGAGUUACGUAUUGUGGUUAUAAAAAUUCUUAUCUGAAAAUAUCUCCAAAAAAUUGCAUUUUGCAUGCAAAACCUGAAACAACUAGAGGUUGUAAUAAUUUUCCAUGUGAUCAAGAGAGUUGCGUAGACCGGAAGGUAGACUGCAGCAUCAUAAAAGGAUUAGGAUUUUGUAAAAUGGAAACAUACAAAAGCCUUUGCUGCGAAAGUUGUCGAACAUUUUGAGCUAUUUCUAAUAUUUGUACAUUAAAAAAAAAAGUUAUAGUGUAAAUAGAAUUUAAAUAAAAUUCA